rnacentral:rRNA from 1 species
CUAAGUUUGAUGGCGACCGGCGCACGGGUGAGUAACACGUAUCCAACCUGCCGAUGACUCGGGGGAUAGCCUUUCGAAAGAAAGAUUAAUACCCGAUGGCAUAGUUCUUCCGCAUGGUAGAACUAUUAAAGAAUUUCGGUCAUCGAUGGGGAUGCGUUCCAUUAGGUUGUUGGCGGGGUAACGGCCCACCAAGCCUUCGAUGGAUAGGGGUUCUGAGAGGAAGGUCCCCCACAUUGGAACUGAGACACGGUCCAAACUCCUACGGGAGGCAGCAUGC